GACGAACGCUGGCGGCGUGCCUAAUACAUGCAAGUAGAACGCUGAAGAGAGGAGCUUGCUCUUCUUGGAUGAGUUGCGAACGGGUGAGUAACGCGUAGGUAACCUGCCUUGUAGCGGGGGAUAACUAUUGGAAACGAUAGCUAAUACCGCAUAACAAUGGAUGACACAUGUCAUUUAUUUGAAAGGGGCAAUUGCUCCACUACAAGAUGGACCUGCGUUGUAUUAGCUAGUAGGUGAGGUAAUGGCUCACCUAGGCGACGAUACAUAGCCGACCUGAGAGGGUGAUCGGCGACACUGGGACGGAGACACGGCCCAGACGACUACGGGAGGAAGCAGUAGGGAAUCUUCGGCAAUGGGGGCAACCCUGACCGAGCAACGCCGCGUGAGUGAAGAAGGGUUUCGGAUCGUAAAGCUCGGUUGUAAGUCAAGAACGGGUGUGAGAGUGGAAAGUUCACACUGUGACGGUAGCUUACCAGAAAGGGACGGCUAACUACGUG
rnacentral:rRNA from 1 species